CACCAUAUUGAAAAAUAAUAGUAGUUUAUCGAUGAUGAACUGAUGAUGAGCGAGUGGAAAUCGUGUAUUUGGUGAUUGAAUAUUAAUGUAUUAUAUUAAAAAUGGCUGGAAAUUUUGGAAUGCAGCAGUUGAUUCCUAUCGUAAACAAAUUACAAGAUGCAUUUGUACAAAUGGGCGUGCACAUGUCCUUAGAUCUUCCACAAAUCGCUGUUGUGGGUGGUCAGUCGGCAGGAAAGAGUUCUGUUUUAGAGAAUUUUGUCGGGAGGGAUUUUUUACCAAGAGGCUCUGGCAUUGUCACACGUCGUCCAUUAAUUCUGCAGCUUAUAAAUGGAAAUACAGAAUAUGCAGAAUUCUUACACUGCAAGGGAAAGAAGUUCACGGACUUCAAUGAAGUUCGAGGAGAGAUCGAGGCGGAGACAGAUCGUGUUACUGGUUCCAACAAGGGUAUAUCUCCUGUACCUAUUAACCUGCGUGUUUAUUCCCCGAAUGUGCUCAACCUGACGCUGAUUGAUUUGCCGGGUCUGACAAAAGUGCCAAUCGGUGAUCAGCCUAUAGAUAUCGAGCAGCAAAUCAAAGGGAUGAUAUUCCAGUUCAUCAGACGCGAAUCAUGCCUUAUCCUGGCAGUUACUCCGGCCAACACGGAUUUGGCCAACAGCGAUGCUCUGAAGCUUGCCAAAGAAGUAGACCCACAAGGAUUGCGUACUAUCGGCGUAAUAACAAAAUUAGAUUUGAUGGACGAGGGUACCGAUGCGCGGGACGUGCUCGAGAACAAGCUGCUGCCGCUGCGCCGAGGCUACAUCGGAGUCGUCAACCGAUCGCAGAAAGACAUUGACGGUCGCAAGGACAUAGCCGCUGCACUUGCGGCUGAGAGAAAAUUCUUCCUUAGCCACCCGUCAUACCGUCAUUUGGCCGAUCGUCUCGGUACCCCUUACCUACAGCGAGUGUUGAACCAACAGCUCACCAACCAUAUCCGCGACACUCUGCCCAGUCUCCGUGACAAGUUGCAGAAACAACUACUGACCUUGGAGAAGGACGUCGACCAGUACAAGCAUUUCCGACCCGAUGACCCGUCUAUUAAAACUAAGGCCAUGUUGCAAAUGAUUCAGACUUUGCAAACCGAUUUUGAACGCACCAUCGAAGGUUCCGGAUCGGCGCAGAUCAACACCAACGAAUUGUCCGGUGGCGCUAAGAUCAACAGGCUUUUCCACGAACGUUUUCCUUUUGAAAUUGUCAAAAUGGAGUUUGACGAAAAGGAACUGCGCCGCGAGAUCGCGUUCGCCAUUCGAAAUAUCCACGGUAUCCGAGUGGGUUUGUUCACACCGGAUAUGGCGUUUGAGGCUAUCGUGAAAAAGCAGAUCGGACGUCUGAAGGAGCCGUGCCUGAAGUGCGUCGAUCUGGUUGUGCAGGAGCUGUCCAACGUUGUACGGAUUUGCACCGAACGAAUGUCUCGUUACCCGCGCCUGCGCGAAGAGACGGAGCGCAUCAUAAUGUCGCACGUGCGCUCGCGGGAGCAGAUGUGCAAGGAUCAGCUGGUGCUGCUCAUCGACUGCGAACUGGCUUAUAUGAAUACCAAUCAUGAAGAUUUCAUUGGAUUCGCGAACGCACAAAAUCAGUCUGAGAACUCUGCGAAGUCAGGACAUCGAGCGCUCGGAAAUCAGGUGAUCCGAAAAGGAUACAUGUGCAUUCACAAUCUGGGAAUUAUGAAGGGAGGUUCCCGCGACUACUGGUUCGUACUGACUUCUGAGAGCAUCUCGUGGUACAAGGAUGAAGAGGAGCGGGAGAAGAAGUACAUGUUGCCCCUCGACGGGCUCAAGUUGAGAGAUCUCGAGCAGGGCUUCAUGUCGCGGCGACACAUGUUCGCACUCUUCAACCCUGAAGGCAGAAAUGUUUACAAGGAUUACAAGCAAUUGGAGUUGUCGUGUGAAACUCAAGAUGACGUCGAUUCGUGGAAGGCUUCGUUCCUGCGCGCGGGAGUCUACCCCGAGAAGACAUCGGAGGCGGCCAACGGCGACGAGUUAUUUCCGCCUUCCCUGGGUUUGGGUGAAAAUGCAGGAAGAAAUUCGGACAGCACAGGCACCAGCAGUAUGGACCCGCAGUUAGAGAGGCAGGUGGAGACCAUCCGUAAUCUGGUGGAUUCGUACAUGCGCAUCGUGACGAAGACAACGCGAGAUCUCGUCCCCAAGACAAUCAUGAUGAUGAUUAUCAAUAAUGCCAAAGACUUCAUUAAUGGAGAAUUACUCGCGCAUCUGUAUGCGUCCGGGGAUCAGUCUCAAAUGAUGGAAGAGUCUCCCGAGGAGGCACUGAAGCGUGAAGAGAUGUUGCGCAUGUACCACGCGUGCAAGGAGGCGCUGCACAUCAUCGGCGACGUGUCCAUGGCCACCGUGAGCACGCCCGUCCCGCCGCCCGUCAAGAACGACUGGCUCGAGAGCAGACUCGACUCCAACCCGAGACUGUCGCCGCCCUCGCCCGGCGGCCCGCGCCGCGCCGCACCCGCGCAGCAAGGUUCAUUGGGUCAGCGCGGAGCUCCCCCGCCGCCCGGAGCGGGUGCAGGACGUCCGGCGCCGCCGCUCCCCUCGCGGCCGGGAGGCGCCGCCCCCCCGCCCCCCGCUGCCAGACCCGUGCCCUCACAGGGUCUGCCCGCACCGCUCAUUCCCACGCGGCGCUAAGGUCGCAGCUUCUACGCGCGUCCUCUAACAUUAGUUACGUACGAAAAUAAGGCGACCCGGCGGGGCGAGUGCUGGCGGUGCGAUGAACCAACUCCCGCCGCAAAUGAGGAACCAGAUCAACCAGGCCGUCGGGCAGGC
rnacentral:misc_RNA from 1 species